rnacentral:lncRNA from 1 species
CGACCACCAUUUCUCUUGGUUGGGAUUUGGGAACCUACUCCUCUCCGACGAAAUCCAGUUGUACGGAUCUCUCUCUCUCCUUGCAUCUCCUGGACUUUUCGUUAGAUUCAAACUUGCUUAUCUCAAUUCUCAAAUUCAAAAAUGGGGAAAAUGAUUUCUUAACCCAAGAGACCCAAUUGUAAGUACUAAACAGAGAAUGUGACCCCGGACGGUGAAGGAGCUGAUGAGGACGGAGAUGGACGUCGAUGUUGGAAGGGAAACGAGCCAUGGCUUCCUAUUAUUAUUGCUGCUUCUAACGUUAUUGUUGCAUCUGUUGCAAUAGGAGUAGCUUGAAAUUAGGGUUUGUUCUUGAAUAAAGACGACGGAUUUUGGGGCUAAGCAACUUGAUUUUCUGUUAAUAUAUUUCAAUCUAUUUUUAAUGUAUCACGCUGCAUUUUCAUGUAUUUCAUUGUACUCAUUAUAUUUUGUUUCAUUGUAAUUUAAUGUAUCUCGUUGUAUUUCAUGUAUUUCAUUGUACUUACUAUUUUUUUCUUGUUGUAUUUCAACGUAUCCCG